rnacentral:rRNA from 1 species
ACCUACUAUGGUGGUGACGGGUGAUGGAGAAUUAGGGUUCGAUUCCGGAGAGGGAGCCUGAGAAAUGGCUACCACAUCCAAGGAAGGCAGCAAGC